AAAGGCACCAAAUGACAGGAUACAGAGUGCCGAGAGCUGGCAGCAGAGGUUUCUUCUGCAGACAUCUUGCUGGUUGUUUUAAGGUCCUCUGCCUCUAAGUGGCACCAUGCUGAGUGAUUGAACACUUGCUAGAAUCUGUUCUACCUUUUAUUGUAAUGAUUUCUUACAGAGCUCCCACUUUCCAAACUCUGAACUUUCAAGAGUACUGCCUGGAUGUCAGAGCCCUUUCGUCAGAAACACCAGAGCCUCUGGAGUGAUGGUCCCCAGAACUACAAAAUCCCUUUGGAAAGCCACAGCUCUUAAAACCAUCACUAGGAAAGACUGAACUUUAGUUUUUAGAGAAGGCUGUCACAUCCCUGGGAUUUGUAAUGAGAAGUAUUCAAAAUAGAGCCAGGCAGAGCUUUCGCUGGUGUAAAUUGCCAGAGGGUUACACUGAAUCAUAGCCGUGCACAACCUGGUUUAUGGUUUUGUAUUUGCUUAAAGUAAUUAGGCCCAGACUGCCCCAUAUGCUACUUCUGCUCAGAAAGCAGGAAGCAAUUUGGGAAGGGGAUAGAGGGUAUCCCAGAACGGAUGGGCCCGAUCUACAUGCACACAUGCACACACACACAGUCUGGGAGUCCAGAAACUGCUGAAGCAAACUGACCUCCUCAAACUCACCAUCCAGCACAAGAAAUGUUGUACUUUUUAAACCAGAAGGAAGUAAUCUCCUCUCAGUGCUAUAAUGGGCUCAUAAUGCUCAAAUGUUCAGGUAUUCAACCAUCUACCAGGAAAUCUGCCUUUGCUUUAGUACUUUAUGAUCCUCAUAUAUUUUGCAGAGUUUGAGGCUGUUUGCUCUACUUCAAAAUGCUGAAAGCUCUUCUGUUCCUAUGUAAUACAACAAAACCCACAGCCCAAACCCACAACAACCACCACCAAACUAUGCAGCCCAGGAAAAUUAUUGACACUUUAAGAGGACUAGAAAAAGAGAAAAGAUUUUCUGUAUUUGAGGGAAGGUUGUCGUUUGUUGGCUGAAUUGUUGGUAGUAAUAUAGUACAAUGAGUAGUGAAGACUGGGAGAUUUAUGUGCCAGUUCUGUCUAUGAUUUAUUUAAAUUAAUUGCUCUAUAUCAAUAUGUAAAAAUCUAAUAAAUAUAACUCCCUAUACAAAGGAUUGCCCCAGUCCUGAUGUUACAGUGGACAGUUUUGGCAGCAAGUCAGGAUGUGCAUUAAAAACACACUUUUUGAGAAGUCUAAUAAAUAAAAGCUCUGAAAUAUAGUUUCCUACUGAGAAAGGCAUUUUAAAUCAUUUUGAUAAAGAACUUAAAUUAGGCCUUAAAAGGAGGGGGAAGCUAGGUCCCUGCAACUAAUUAUUUAUAGGUAUUUUGAAUAUAAGAGUCCAAGAAAGCUGGUCUCCAUCCCUUGUUCUCUGCCACAAUAAAUGGGAAAGAAACAGCCAUUCCCCUUCCUUCCCCCCAACCAAAUUAAAAGUCAGGUGGUAGAAAGGGGAGGAGAAAACAGAAUUAAAAUGGGGAACAGGCACCUGAACAAGGAACUUCAGGAGUCCUGAAAAAACCCUGCACAUUUUCCACCAAAAUAAAUUAAGUGAGCAGAGGACAGGCCCUCAGUUCUCCUCUGCGUUACUCCAGAGAACUGGGCUGUUAGCUCACUGUAGUCCCCUGAAAAGGGAAUAUACUGUUAUUUGUUAAAUACCAGAGGGAAUGUUUUUAGAAGUGAAUAAACAUCUGAAUAGCUCCAGUCUUUCUGGAAGUCAAAGCAAUUUAGAGACUGCACAGAAGUCGAAAUUGCCGGGGACUUGGGCUUCUAAGUCACUUAUGUGCUUCUGAAUACGUUAUCCCGAAAGCAGAGCUGACACUUUGCAUGUGUGCAGCCACCCAGGGGCCCUGCCUUGAAGGAUUUACAGUUUGGGAUCUGCUACCACUCACAGCAAAACCAGUGGGGUUGAAGAAGUGCUGAUGUGGGAGGGUCUGUGGCUCUGCAGCAGCCAUAGGCACCUCCCCUGGCUGGGUCUCACACCAGCAGCUCAGGUCCUGUCGGUAGGGCUGGAGGCUCUGCAUGGGAAGGCUGAGGAAUGGCAGACUAAAGCACAAGUGUGUGUGCCGGAGACAUUUCUGCUGUUGUGGUUGUACCUAUGAGGCUUCCUGCUGAGGUUACUGAGCUACUAAUCUCUGAUGGACAUACAGAAUUUCCCUCCCUGUUCUCAAUAGAUUGCUUCACCUUGAACUCCCUUCUGCUGGCAACCAUGGUUGUCUCUCAAGACUCUGCACAAGGAGAUGCUAAUUCUAAUCUGUUCCACCAGAAGUGUUUCCCUCUGAGCUCAAGUUCAUCCCUCUCUUUAAAUCUGACUCUCAGACCUUCUUUUCAUCGCAGGGCUCAGAGAGGUGUACGAUAGCUGGGACUCCCCUGCACUUGCAGAACCAGGAGGUUGCUAAUGGGUGGCACUUUGCUAGAGAAGGAAAAGGCAUGCCUUAGAAAAUUAAGAGAGGCACUUAAGAUCUAAAGUUUAACAGAGCAGGUUGGCACCUACAUCUGGCCUGGCUGUGUGGCCGUAAAUUCAUGGCACACAAGAGCACACCUUUCACUGACUGGGGCCAGUCGUAUGCCAAAGUCUUUUAGUGUCCUCCAACACCCACUUCCAUGUCAGACCAGACCUUCAAACCCUUCUGACAGCUUGCAGUCCUGACAUGUGCACCACCAGAACUUGCAGACAUGUUCCUUAAGGUCAGGAAUGGCACAAGAGCUCAACCACAGAGCACUAGAGCCCAGCUUUUAUCUCCAAAUCUGACACAGAAAUACAUGGCCAGGUUUUCAAAAGAACUCAACAGCUUGAGGGCUUUGUUGAAUGUCUGCCUGCAAACACACAGUGGGAAUUGCAGGAUGCAGCUCCGAAAAUCUGGCGUGGGAGCACUGAAAAACCUGGCCAUGAGUCCUCUGAAAAGGUUGUGCUAUAUGACCAUAUGAGAGACAGUGUGCUGACUGCACAGAAAGAAAAGGUGCUAGCCGCUAUUGCAGACAAGGGGAUUUUGCUCCCAAUUCAAAGUUGGUUUAAGAUUUCUCCCAACCUACCAAAAAUAAAAGUUCCUGGACAGUCCGAAAGCCUCAAAAAUAAGAAUGAAAAGAAGUUGAAAUUUGAAUUUAAAUUGAAAAUUAAGAAUUAAAAAAAAAA
ensembl:lncRNA